rnacentral:sRNA from 1 species
AAAACGAAUCUGAUCU